rnacentral:lncRNA from 1 species
UGAAAUCUGAAGUGCCACAUCAUUAUUCUAACCUCUUCCACUCCGCACUGUCUUUCAGAGGCUGUAAUGGGCUCGGAUUUAAAGCUAGCAUGAAGAUACUGGUAUCAUAUGAAACUAGAUGGCCCAAGGCUUCCAUUGGUACCACAGCAUGCUGGUUUGUUGGGUAGGGGGCUAAAUAUUACUCCAAAUUUAGGCAACAUUUUGGAAAAACUUUCAUGACCAUUUUCAAGUGGUCCUUUGACCUCUGACCUCAAGAUGUCGGAAUUAAAAUGUGUUCUAUGGGGCCCUAUGUGCCUCUCCUUUACAGACAUGCAUGCUUUCUGCUAAUCCCAUUUGGUUGGGGAAAAACAAAUUUUUUGCAUACGGUAUAAAUGUGUUAUUUUUACGUAGUGUAUUUGAAUAUUUCUGCAUAUUGGGGUUUUUAAACAGUAUUGGAAUUGCAUAAAUUGGGUAUGACUGGAAAGCUGAGACUCAUGUGGAUCCCAUGAGCCUAAUUGUAUGUAUGUGUGAUGAUGUCAGUCCCCAUAGUAGCCAUGUUAUUGUAGUGAGACUAUUUUUGAAACUUGGCCUCACUGUAUAAAAUUACCUAUUGUGACUUCAAGGAUAAUCACAGCGUCAAGAGACUGUACAACCACAAACUAAAGACUGAAGGCAUCAAGAGGAUGGAUGGCUUGCCAAGGUAUAUUCACAAUGAGUGUGUGCUACAACCAAGAUGCCGCCUUCCACCGCCAAUGGGAAACACACACACACUCACACACACACACCCUGCCACCUCUUCGCCCUCGCCCUCCUCUUCCUGCCCCCCCACCUGCAUAAUAACCCCGCGCCCCCCCACCUUCCCUGCCAGAGCGCCCAUGUCCAAACCAAACACAACAGAUCAACAACUCGGCAUGCAGAUCGUGUCACGGGAUAAAUUAUGCGCAGCGUGUCAGCUUCAUACGUGGGCUCUCGGCUGGCUGUCCGUGACAUGUGUCAGGGUGCCCCUGCAUCUCCGCCGCGCAACGCUAAUGACGUGAUGCCGGGUUAGCCUCCGAUGCACCCCAUUCCACCCCACCCCACCGCCUGCCCUCAACCACCCCAACCCUUCUACCCCUUUCACCCACUCCUCUACCACCCCCCACCCAUCACGCGACGAUGAGACAGUGUGUCACCUCCAGAAGGGCGGAAGGGGAAAAAACUCAGGUUUUAAGGGGAUAAAGAUGGACAACAGUGUCUGGUCCAGUGUGAGACUGUGGUGAUUGAUGACUGAGGGCCUUUAGAUAGAAGAGUUUGAGCAAUAUGGAAUUAUAAAGGUUUGUAGUAUUAUAAAGUACUGGCACUGAAUAUCUUUAAUAUGUCUAUAUAUGUCAAUUUGUUUGUUAAAAAAAUAAUCUCGAUCCAUGUUUUUUCCCAUUUGUUAAAACAUUUAAAAUUAUUUUAAUAUAAUAUUUAAAUAAAAAUAUAUUCAAUGAUCA